AUUGAACGCUGGCGGCAUGCCUUACACAUGUAAGUCGAACGGUAACGCGGGGCAACCUGGCGACGAGUGGCGAACGGGUGAGUAACGCAUCGGAACGUGCCCAGUAGUGGGGGAUAGCCCGGCGAAAGCCGGAUUAAUACCGCAUACGACCUACGGGUGAAAGGGGGGGAUCGCAAGACCUCUCGCUAUUGGAGCGGCCGAUGUCAGAUUAGGUAGUUGGUGGGGUAAAGGCCCACCAAGCCUUCGAUCUGUAGCUGGUCUGAGAGGACGACCAGCCACACUGGGACUGAGACACGGCCCAGACUCCUACGGGAGGCAGCAGUGGGGAAUUUUGGACAAGGGGCGCAAGCCUGUUCCAGCCAUGCCGCGGGCGGGAAGAAGGCCUUCGGGUUGUAAACCGCUUUUGUCAGUGAAGAAACGCUCUGGGCUAAUACCCCGGGGUAAUGACGGUACCUGAAGAAUAAGCACCGGCUAACUACGUGCCAGCAGCCGCCGUAA
rnacentral:rRNA from 1 species